rnacentral:rRNA from 1 species
UACGGAGGGUGCAAGCGUUAUCCGGAUUCACUGGGUUUAAAGGGUGCGUAGGCGGGCAGGUAAGUCCGUGGUGAAAUCUCUGAGCUUAACUCAGAAACUGCCAUGGAUACUAUUUGUCCUGAAUGUUGUGGAGGUAAGCGGAAUAUGUCAUGUAGCGGUGAAAUGCUUAGAUAUGACAUAGAACACCCAUUGCGAAGGCAGCUUACUACACAAAAUAUUGACGCUGAGGCACGAAAAGCGUGGGGGAUCAAAACAGG